rnacentral:misc_RNA from 1 species
ACACCUCAACUCUCAUGGCUUGCCAUGAUGAGCUUGGACUUAUGGGGGUCUUGCUGGCUUAUGGUCGGCUCCUCUCAAACGAAUCAGCUUGCCAGUGUUUGGUGGCGUCACAGGUGUGAUAACUAUCUACGCUUGUGGUUUCCCGCCAGGUAACCUUCAGCAAUGGAGAUUCGCUGGGGCUCAUAAAAGUCUCUCCUCGGUGAGGACAGCUCUUUGAAC